CCCUUAGAUGUUCUGGGCCGCACGCGCGCUACACUGUUUGAUUCAGCGAGUCUUAACCUUGACCGAAAGGUUUGGGUAAUCUUCUAAAGUCAAACGUGAUGGGGAUCGAUCAUUGCAAUUAUUGAUCGUGAACGAGGAAUUCCUAGUAAAUGCAAGUCAUCAGCUUGCGUUGAUUACGUUCCUGCCCUUUGUACACACCGCCCGUCGCUACUACCGAUUGAAUGGUUUAGUGAGAUCUCCGGAUUGGCUCUGUAGGUCCCGCAAGGGAUUUAUUAGUAGCCAAGAAGCUGCUCAAACUUGAUCAUUUAGAGGAAGUAAAAGUCGUAACA
rnacentral:rRNA from 1 species